AUUGAACGCUGGCGGCAGGCUUAACACAUGCAAGUCGAGCGAGAGGCGGACGGGUGAGUAAUGUCUGGGAAACUGCCUGAUGGAGGGGUAUAACUACUGGAAACGGUAGCUAAUACCGCAUACCAUCAUAUGUGCCCAGAUGGGAGUGGCUAGUAGGUGGGGUAAUGGCUCACCUAGGCGACGAUCCCUAGCUGGUCUGAGAGGGUGACCAGCCACACUGGAACUGAGACCAGGUCCAGACGCCUACGGGAGGCAGCAGUGGGGAAUAUUCGACAAUGGGCGCAAGCCUGAUGCAGCCAUGCCGCGUGUGUGAAGAAGGCCUUCGGGUUGUAAAGCACUGUCAGCGAAGAGGCGUUACUCGCAGAGGAAGCAACGGCUAACUCCGUGCCAGCAGCCGCGGUAAUUC
rnacentral:rRNA from 1 species